rnacentral:lncRNA from 1 species
GCAAGCUAAGUAACCAGCAAAUGUGAUUUUGGUCGGUUAAGAGGCAAUAAGAAGAAGCUGGCCGUAGUUCCAUUGUUAGUCUAGCUAUCCGAGAGGUAUUAAGAGGAAAAAGGAGAGAAAGACCAUUACAACCUGGAAUUCAUUCUGGCCUCAUUCAACCGUAAGAACCAGCCAAGAAUCAAGAAGGAUUUCAGCUUAUCUAGCUAAGCUUCGGGGAGAGAGGGAUCAGAAAUUUUUCCUAGCUUAAAGCCAUUGAGAACUAGAGGUAAACUACUGAAUUUUCUCCUAUUUUCUGUUGCAUUUAGCUAGCAGUAUUUUAGACUAAGUUAGAACCAAGUAAAGAAAGAAACUUUCUAGAAAGCAAAGAUCAACAAAGCUGGAAAUAUUCGUUUGAAGUUGUUAUCCGAUAGUUGAUGAGCUAAGCUAUAAUUUUCUGGUUGUUUCUUACGUUGCAUAUCUUAUGUACACUCUUUAGCCAUAUAUCUUGACAUACAUACAGAUUAUAUCUUCAAAUAAAACCUGUUAAGAUGGAAUUGUGAUGAACUAUUGGCUGGAAUUCUUGAUACAAAGAAGGAUGAUUGCCGAUGGAGUAAAGUUGGAAAGAAUUUCGGUUUCUGGCCAAAAGUUUGUUGAAACUGGUUAGGACUUGUUAGUGCACCAUCGGUGACCUUAAUCUGAUCAUGCAUGUAAUGUUUGACGUGCUAAAAGCAAGAAUAAACGAACCUUAAAAGCAACACGAAGGCUGGAGUAUGAGAAAUCUGAUGCAUGCUGUUAUGCAUCAGAUUUGUAACAAAGAGCAGAAAUGAGUUUAAUCCUGUUUAGUUUCUGGAAUUUUGGUCAUAAAUUUUCACGUUCUGUUAAGGAUAAUCAGUAACUGAAUAGGCUAUUCCCUGUAUACUUAGUUGGAACAUAAAACUGAAGAGGAAUUAUGAAGAAACAUCGAAUAAUAGGCUGCUGCUGCUGCUGGAAAUUAUUGUUUGCAACCGAGGAGAAAUUUCUAAUUUUGUGAUGAAUUUUAAAAAAAUUCUACAAAAGGGGUGAUUUUGGUAAUGGAUUCCGUCCGGGGGGUCUUCGCAUUCGUGAAAUGCGAGCUCUACUGAGCUCGCAUUUCACGAAUGCGAGCUCUAUUCUAAGCUCGCAUUCGCGAAAUGCGAGCUCUACUUAUUGAGCUCGCAUUCCGCAAAUGCGAGCUCUAAUUUAAUUGUUCUUUGCAUGAACUCCUAGUUUGCUGGUUCAGACUUGCGGCUUUGAAACUUUAUCUACUUCAGUUGCUGUUUGGUUGUCUUUGUUUGGCCACAAGUUCUGAUAUGCUGAGAUUUGUGUUUAUAAUCAAUAACCCUGGUUUCAUUUGAAGUGUUCAGUGUUAAGGGGUAUUUGGGGUGAUAGGUUCACUAGUUUUGUUUGAAGCUUUGCAUGGUUUUUCUGCAUCGAAAUUUGCAGAAGCAUUGUUGUUGAAGAAAAAACUGUUCUUUGAUGCUCGCAUGAUCCUUUCAUCUAAUUUGUUUUGUGCUUAAACAUAAGGAUUUUUGCAGCUAAAAGAUGGAAAAUGUUUAGAAUUUUUAUUACUAUAGUCUAAGUGUUGACUGUUCAAGUCAUUAGUUGCAGUCGGAUGAAAGGAAACUACAUCAGACACCAUAAAGGCUGUGCCGCGAGCCUGCUGCCGAACCAUCUUGCAUGAAGUAUUUUCAAUAUUUGCAUGAUUUCCUCCUUGUCUUGGCUCUCGAAUGCGAGCUCACUGAGCUCGCAUUCUGGAAAUGCGAGCUCCAAUUGGAGCUCGCAUUUCCAGAAUGCGAGCUCAGUGAGCUCGCAUUUCCGGAAUGCGAAGACCCCUAUUUGCAGAAUCCACUCCAAGAAUCGCCCUAGUUGUAGAAUUCUUUUUUUUUUCCAUCAUAAACUAAGAAUUCACCCGCAACCGAGAGAGUUGAAAAUCUGCUAACUUCAUUUCCCCAGAUUGUAACCUCAAACCAUGAGCUAAAAAUGAAAAAAAAUGAGAGACUGGUGCGGCUUAGGAAGAACUGAAGCAGGAACUAAAAGUGCAGGCUGCAACCUUUAAAUUCUAGGAAGAAAGGGGAGGAAAAAUUCUAUAACAACCUCUUACGCUUUUAAUAUACAUGACACUUAAGCUGCCUGUGAAUUUAGCUAGGAAAAUGAGUUCUUGGCUGAAGGAAAAAUUCUGUGCAGCAACCGAAAAGCUAUUAGGAAGAAAAUUGGAGAAACCAAGAGUGAAGAUUGAAAUUUGCAGCUUGCUAUCGAUAUUUCUUAGAGAAUAAUGUCGAGAGGUAUACAAUAUAGAUUUAACCUGAGUUUACAUGAGGUUUAGCUGAAGAAAAUUUAGAUUAAACGCUGACUCUUAACCUUCGGUGCUCUCAACAUCCUUUCUCUCAACUUUCGGUGUAAAGCUGUGCAAAGUUGUGUAAAAAGACAAUAUAACUUUCGGUGCUCUUGAGGUUGAUGGCAAGCUGCCCUCCAGCCCAAUCCCUUUCUUCUCCCACAUUCCAAAAGAAAUCUUUUUCUGAACUCUUUGGUAAUGCAGCUUCUCAGCCCAUUUUGACUAUCAACGCAGUGUCUUCGACUCAUCGGGGGGAACCUGCGAUUCUUUUUCUCAAACUGAUUUGGCCACACUUGCUGCUCCAUACAAAUUUGCUUUGGUUGGUAAAUUUUCUAAGGGUCGUCCUUCCUAUGGAGGAUCUCAGGAAAUUCUUCUUAUCUCUUGAUCUAAAAGAGGCUGCUAAGGUAGGUCUUUUAGACUCCAGACAUGUAGUGAUUAACUUGGGGAAUGAGGUGGAUUUUCAUCGGAUUUGGGCUAGAGGUAAAUGGUCUCCUGCUUUCCAUGUGGACAAGGAGCCUUCGGUGGUUCCAGUUUGGUUUAAGUUACCAAAAUUGCCGCUGCAUUCCAGAUUGCGGGCGUUUUGGGGAAUCCUUUGUUUGUAGAUACUGCAACCAUGGUGGCUUCCAGGCCAAGUGUUGCUAGGGUAUGUGUAGAAGUAGACUUGUUAAAAUCUCUUACUCCUAGGGUGUGGAUUGGUAAUGGUGAUCAUGAGGGAUUUUGGCAAGCUUUAAUUCCAGAAAAUCUGCCUAAAUAUUGUUCCCAUUGUUUUAAGCAGGGACAUAUCCAAGAUGAUUGUCAUAUGCUAUAUCCGGAUCUUAAAAUUCAGAGACCGUUAGCUUCCAAGAAACAGGAUGGUCAUACACGCUUUCAACCUACUUCUUCACCUGGCUUGGGCACAAUAGGCAAACAGGAUGAUCACUCUGGGAAAGAGGUGGAUCCAAUCAUUGUGCCUGCUACUACGGAGGAGGAUGUGGGUGUGGUUGAUAAGGAGGGGCCUUCAAAAACUCCUAAAGUCACGACUCCUUUUGUUGAAGACGCAAAUAUUUGUACUGGGAUUUUCACAGAACCUGCUACAUGUUCAUGUUCUGAUACUCAGGCGGUGGUGUCUCAGCAUGAUCUUGAUGGGCUGGAAGAUACUAUAACGGUGGCUCCCACUGUUGAUCCCUCAAACAGGCAAAUUGACAAUUUGGAACUUAUGGCUGGAAAGGAAAACCAGCAAGCCCGUUCUGCUCGUCAGCUGGAGCAGAAUACGCUUGUCAUUGAUAUAUCUCAUUGUGGUGUGCUGAAGGAUUUGCUGGCAAAACAAUCAUCUGCGGUUGCGGAUAUCUUUAAUCUUGACCCGAUCAUUCAACAAGUCAGUGAAAAGCUCCAGCAUGAGGAAGGUUUACAGGUGGUUACGCAUGGCAAACCGAAAUGUAGGGUGAAUUCUUAGUUUAUGAUGAAAAAAAAAAAGGAUUCUACAACUGGGGCGAUUUUUGGAGGUUGUUCUACAAAUGGGGGGUCUUCGCAUUCACGGAAUGCGAGUUCACAGAGGAAUAUAGUGAAUAUAGUGAAUCAGAGUGAAUGAUAUUAGUUCUUUUACCACUAAUUUGGGUUGCAAAUAAUGUUUGGUCCUAUACAGUGGUUAAUGCUCCGCCAUUUCUUAAGCUUGGAUUCUUUGAAUUCUCAUGGUCUUCAUUUUUUUUUUUUUCAAUUUCCAACUUCAGGUAUUGACUACUCAAACCUGGAUUUUUUUGGAAUAUUCUCGAUUUUUCAUUUCUUUCUCAGUUAUUAGUACGUAGAUUACUGUAGCUGAACUCCUACAAAUUUAUGUGAAUGGGUUGCCCAUUUUUUAGAAAAUUUUUAUAUUAUUUCUUAAACACUGUUGUCCAACCAAAAUUUUACUUUUCCAACAUAUUAUCUCUCUAUAGUAUGUCACUAAAAUACGACACCAUUAUUCUUAAAUAAGGUUUCCAAAUAUACUAAAUUUCAAUUUAAACGUAAGUCUUGUUGAUGCUUACAUGUCUGGUCUUUCUAUUUAUUGCAGUAAUAAGGGAGGUGUCCAAAAUAAAGGAAAGGGAGGUGGCCAAUGGUUCAAGGAAUGGGAAGCUCGCAUUUCGCGAAUGCGAGCUCUACACAGAGCUCGCAUUUCGCGAAUGCGAACACCCCCUUCGGAAUAUCUCAUCAAAAUCACUCCUUUUGUAGAAUUUUUUUAAAAUUCAUCAUAAAAUUAGAAAUUUCCCCCGAAAUGUAUCAGGCUAAAUUUUCAUCUGAUCGUUCGCUGCGAUCGAAAGCCAAGGUUUCCUCAAACUCUUCCUCUUCCUUGUCUCAAUGAUUAAGUUUAUGUUUUGGAAUAUUAGGGUGUAUCUCGCGCCCCAAAUUUUCGGAGAUUGAGAUAUUUGGUAAAACACCAUUCCAUUCAACUAGUAGCUAUUUGUGAACCAAAAAUUCAAGUUGCAGAGAUCCAUUCGAUCAGGAUGAGACUUAAUAUGGAUCACUCUGUAUUUAGUAGUACGGGUGAUAUUUGGAUUUUUUAUAAAGCCUCUAUUUUUUGUCGUAUAGUUGGAGAAUCUAAUCAACAUUUGUCGUUACAAAUUGAUUCUGCAAUAUUUGCUGUCCCUAUUAUUUUUUCAUUUGUCCACGCCAAGUGUACUGCCCUUCAACGAGUAGAAUUAUGGAAUAGCCUUCUUGUGGACAAACCGACUUAGUCUGCCUGGCUUCUUGUGGGGGAUUUUAAUGUCAUUGUUUCGGAGGAGGAGAAAAGGGGUGGGGUGCCGUUUAGACCAGAGGAAGGUUCGGAUUUUUUGAACUUUAUGUCUCAAGCUGGAAUUUUUGAUGUGGGGUAUUCAGGGUCUAUUUUCACAUGGUGCAACAAUAGAUAUGGUCGGGCGCGUAUUUGGAAGAGAUUAGACAAGUUGCUUAUGAAUCAAGUUUCUCCCAAUUUAGGCUUAGGUUUUGCCGUACAACAUUUGUGUAGAGACCCAUCAGAUCACGCUCCAUUGUUAUUGUCGGCUCUUACAAAAUUGGAUAACAAGCCAAAGCCAUUUCGUUUUUUGAAUUUCUGGACAUCUAAACCAGAACUGUUGGACGUGGUUAGGUGCAAUUGGAACAGGAAUUUUUUAGGCCCACCAUUAAAGGUCCUUGCAGCCAAGCUUUGGAAUGUAAAGGUGGCAUUACGAAUGUGGUUGCGCGAGGUUUUCGGUGAUAUCUUUGAAGCUGUAAAGGUGGCGGAACAACGUGCUCUCAAUGCUGAGUUUAGUUAUGAUGUUGAUCCGUCUGAGGCAAAUUUAGUUGUAUUACACGAAGCACAAGCCCAGCUAAGGCGUUCACAUGCACUUGAGAAUAUGUUUUGGCAACAAAAAUCUAGGAUUAAGUGGUUAAAGGAUGGCGAUAGGAACUCCAAGUAUUUUCAUUCUGUGGUGGUGGAAUGACAAAGCACAUCAUUAAUCCAUCGCAUCAAGUCGUCUGCUGGGAAGUGGUUGGACAGUACAUCUGAUAUUGAGGGAGAGGCUGAAUCGUUUUUUAAACAUUUGUUCACGGCUGAAUCAUAUGCUCAAUCCUUUGAAACUCUUGAGGUUAUCACUAAAUUAAUUACUUCACAUGAUAAUGUGAUCUUGGAGAAAAUCCCAUCCAAGGAAGAAGUUAAGUUGGUGGUGUUUUCUAUGGAUGGUGAUAGCUCGGCUGGUCCGGAUGGCUUCUCGGGUAAGUUUUUUACGUUUGCAUGGGACAUUGUGGCUGAGGAUGUAUAUGCGGCAGUUAUUAGUUUUUUUGUGGGGAGGUUUUGCCUAGAAGUAUCUCUUCAACUUCAAUAGUGUUGAUUCCAAAGUUGCAUUCUCCACAAGACUUUACACAAUUUCGUCCUUUAAGUUUGUGUAACUUUAUCAACAAGGUGAUCUCAAAGGUUUUAUCGGAUAGAUUGUCUUGUCUCCUUCCUAAGAUUAUUUCGCCUCAACAGAGUGGAUUUGUCAGAGGAAGGCAAAUUUCAGAUAAUUUUUUGCUGGCUCAAGAGCUGAUUUCAGGAAUUUGGCAGUCUAAUCAGGAGGGGAAUGUGGUUUUGAAGUUGGAUAUGGCUAAAGCUUACGACAGAGUCUCAUGUCUCUUUUUGUUGCAAGUACUGUGACGCUUUGGUUUUGGUGAGCGGUGGAUCGAUAUGAUUUGGCGAUUGAUUUCCAAUGUCUGGUUUUCGGUUCUUAUUAAUGGCUCCCCAUGUGGUUUUUUCCAGUCAACUCGGGGACUGCGCCAAGGAGAUCCCAUUUCGCCGACUCUUUUUAUUAUUGGGGUAGAGGUUUUAUCUAGAUUGCUGAAUUCUUUGGUAGGACAGAGAGGUUUCCUUCCCUUUAAGGUCCCUCUUUCAUACCCUAUUGUCACGCAUCUAGCUUAUGCGGAUGACGUGAUUAUUUUGUGUAGUGGAGUUAAGCGUACUUUGAAGAAAGUCAUGAAUGUUUGGAGAACUAUUGUAGUGUAUCUGGUCAGCAACUUAACUGUCAAAAAAGCUGCUUUAUUGAUCAUGAUGCUUUGACUUUACCUCGUAAAUGUGUCAUUUCACAAAUCUCUGGUUUUCAUGCCAAGUCAUUUCCUCUUAGAUAUCUUGGCUGAACUCUCUCCUCAGGGAGAAGGAAAAGCAGUUAUUUUUCAAAUAUCUGCACUUCAGUUGCUAAGAGAGUUUUGUCUUGGAAGGAGAAGCUUUUGUCGUCUGGAGGGAGGUUAGUGUUACUCAAAAGUGUUUUAUCAUCUUUGCCUAUACAUGUCUUAGCUGCUUCGACUCCUCCGAAGGGUGUUCUCCGCACCCUUGAGAAAGCAUUUGCAAAUUUUCUAUGGGGUACGACUGAAAAAGGGUCUCGGUAUCAUUAGAUUGCAUGGGAUUCAUUGUGUAAGCCGUAUGCCGAAGGGGGUGUGGGAGUGAGGGCUUUGACUGAUGUGUUUGAUGCCUUUUCAUUGAAGUUAUGGUGGUCUUUAAGGCAACGUCAGUCCCUUUGCGCUGAAUUUAUGCACACCAAAUAUUUACAUAAAUUGCAUGUUUGCGAAGCGGAAUUUCAGCCAUUACAAUCGGUAACUUGGAAGAGAUUGGUUACAUAUCAGUCUUUGGCAAAUUCCCAUAUUCAAUGAGUGUUGCAGAAUGGCUUGAUAAACUUCUGGCAUGAGAAUUGGACUGGUACAGGUCCUUUGUGUCAGCAGAUCGAGAUUUUUGGAGAUCACACAGUGGCGGAUUUUGUUUUAAAUGGUCACUGCAACAUUCCAAUGCUACGUCAAUGGCUCCCAGAAAAUAUUGUAUCAACGAUUCUACAAAUAACUCCCCCUGAUGUUUUUUCUAAUCAACCUGAUAGGAUGGUGUGGGAUUUAGAAAUUUCUAGUUCAUUUUCCUUUUCUUCAGCGUAUAAGGUGGUUCGCAACGUUGCCAACACGUCAACCUUUUCAUCUAACAUUUAGGUGAAGGCCUUGCCAGCAAAAAUCUCAUUCUUUAUGAUGAGGAUGCUAUCUUGGAGACUGCCGGUGCAGGAUGUGUUGCAGCGCUUUGGUAUGUGCGGACCAUCUCGUUGUGUUUGUUGCCAAAAUCCUUGGUUGGAUUCUAUUGAUCAUGUUUUCUAUACAGGUGAAGUCCCUCGCCAAGUUUGGCAAUCGUUUCAAGUAGAGAUUGGCGAGUUUGCCACUCCUUCAAUGGUAAAGCAUGCAGUCAUUCAAUGGUGGUUGUGGCCAGCUAAAAACAUGAAGCUUAAAUUGGUUUAUCAGCUUCUGCCAUCGUUGAUUUGCUGGCAACUUUGGAAAGCUAGGAAUACUGCGAUUUAGGAAGGCAAGGUGUUGUCGGUCAUGCAGAUUCAUACUUUUGUUCUUUCUGAUCUCUAUGAUAUUUUCCAAUUACAUUUUACAGACAUGGGAGUUGGAAGGUACUCGUGGCCAUGUUUUUACUCUUCACUGGUGAGUUGGAAAAAAACAUUUAAGUUCAUCCUGGUUAGGUGGAUCCCUCCAUUCUUGACGAUAUGUAAACUGAAUACCAAUGGUUGUUCUCUAGGUAAUUCGGGAAGGAGUGGUUGUUGGGGGGGGGUUUGAGGAAUAGCUCGGGGAUGUUUUUGUUAGGUUUUGCGUGUUAUUGGGAUGUCAUGUCGAGUUUACAUUCAGAGUUGAAGGCUUUGUUAUUUGGAGUUAAGCUUUGUGUUAUGUGAGGUUUCUUUUGCUUGCAUUUGGAAUCAGAUUCUUUACUUCUAGUCCAAAUGGUUAAGGGGGUUAGUAGAUGUCCAUGGGGUUUGCAACGAGAGCUGGAUCAAUUGCUCACUUUUAGGCAUUUCUUUCAAUCCGUCACUCAUUGUUAUCGUCAAGCGAAUGUGCCUGCAGACCGCUUAUCUAAGGUUGGAACUGAGUUAGAGUCCAAUAUAGUGUAUGAUUCAUGGUUGCAAUUGCCACGAUUGGUUCGUGGAGACCUCAAGUUGGAUAGGUUAGGUUAUCCUAAUUUUCGGGUUUACUAAACUUUUGGAUUUCUGGAAUGGAACCUAGGACGUCCACAAUCAUUCAAAAAAAAAAGUGCCGGAAAAAAUUCUAAGAUGACCGAGGCUAAGGAGCUGGAAUUUUAACGCGUGUAACAAGAAUCUAGUUUAAUCUAAAAGGAAAGGAAUGAAAAGUUCACAAGCCUUAAUCUUUAAAUUUGGGUUGAAAAUAGUUUAACGUUAGUUUAAACACCUCACAAGACCUUUAAAUUUGAAGUACAUGUAUAUCUCCCUUGUUUGAGUUGAUAAAAUUGAUAAAUAUCGAAGAGAAAUAUAAUAAUGAUUUGCUGGAAUUUCACAUCUUGUUUAAUAAGAUAAGGAACUUGGUUUCUAGUGAUAUCAACCUUAAAUUGGUGAGAUUUUAACUCUUAAAACUUCUUUCCUUACACAUUAGAACUUUAGAACUUAUGUUUGGGAUUGUACAUAAAAUUCUUAAUCUUAAAAGUGUAAAUCAAAUGGGAGUUUUAAGUACUAGAUUGCUUGGAUUAGUUGAACUAUGUUUAGAGAAUCCUAAAACUCUAAGUAAACUUAUUAGAAUUCACAUUGAAAAUACUUGAAUAAUUGUAGUCGUUAUUUACCUCAGAAAUUGAGAGUGAUCAAGGGUUUAACCCAAAAAAUGAAGCUUAAUCGACCAUUAACGGUGAGUGUUUUCCGAAUUAUGUGUUAACUGUUUAUGUGUGCUUAUUAUGAAAUAUUGCUAAGUGAUUCAUUGCGAAGUGUUUUCAAUUGUCCCUCGCCUUCUAAGUCGAGGGUGUACUUUAUCGCACUUGACUUAGUUGAGCUUGAAGGUUGAUAAUUGAUCAAGUAAUAUUGUAAGUGUGCAUGACUGUAAGCCGGGUGUGUACUUUGUCACACUGGCUGAACUAGGCCCCAAAACCCUCUGUUCAACGGACUAUUCGAGCCAGCAAAGGGCUUGGUCGGGUAGGACGGUAGCUUUGGGUAAGUGUUUCGGUAUACUCGAGUAUUACCACAGAGUAGCAAAUCACUGAUAUUGAUAUGACCAUUUAAGUGAGGGAAGUGUUUAUUGUUUUGGAGGUUAUAAGGAGGAGUUCGGUGGAGUGUGUAGUGCAUUGAAGUGGCUCUAAUGCGAGCACCGUAUCCUUUUAAAAGUGAUUGUUUAGUGAAGUGUUUCAUCAAUUGCUUAAUGAAAGUGAUUAUACAGUGAAAUUAAAUGUGCACUACUUGCUUAAUUGUACUGAUUUAAGUGCUUAUUGAUUGUUGCUUGCAUGGAAACCUCACGGGCGUAAGCUCACCCUUUUACCUUUGUUUUCCUUACAGGAGUCGGAGAUUGAAGAGUGAUUGGAUUGAACUAGAAAGGUAUUUUAGGAAGAUCUGUUAUUUUGUGUAUAUAGUGUAGUCAUGGUCUCUUUUGAAUUUUGAGACGGUUGAAUUUUUGUUUGAGUUGGUGUGAUAUUAAGAUUGGAUAUUUAGAACAGGUAUUUUGUUUCUUUUAUUGGGCAAAUUUAUGUUUCAAACUGAUUGGAGAUGUACUUAAGAGUGAAUGUUCAGUUGUCCAAUGGUAAUGUUAUCUAUGAAGUUAAAGUGAGUAAGUGAGUCCUGACGAGAGCUAGACGGGCAAUCCGCUAACUUCUAGGGUAUGCCCUAGGAGAAGGUGGGGCGUCACAAGUGGUAUCAGAGCUCUUAAUGAGCUCAAGCCGGGAGAGGGUUCUCGGAUUGUGGGGAAUGGCCUGUUGAGUUUGAAAUGAAUUACCAUUUUUAUGGAAAAUUAGAUAUGUAUGUUGGAUGGGAAUCUCAAAUAUAGGUGAUUUACUCUUGGGACUGGCCAGCCUGAGUUAUGAAUUAUCUUAUUGUCAGAUUCUUGUAUCCGAGUACCAGAUAUUUCAUUCAAUGGUGUAUUUGCAAAAUUGGAAAGAAUUUAGCAUAUUGUAUUAUGACGUGACUAGAAAUCAUGACUAAAUUUGGAAAAGUAGAAUCGAAAGGAUCAAGUCUAGCUUUUGAAAGUUAAAAGUGAAGUCGUUCAAUAGUAAAUGGAUUAUAUGCCAUCUCUUACCCAAAAAUGUGGGUUUAAACCUAGAAUUUGAGUGAAAUUGUAGUUUAAGUAAGGACCAAGUGCGUCCUUUUGGCAGUGUGUUCUAGGGCAUUGGAUGACUAGUCACUGUGACUGUUCAAGAACUUACUUCUAUCUGGAUCGAGUGAUACUAGUUCAUGGGUAAAAGACAGGGGUUAGUGAUAGCAAAUGAGAGAGCUCAUAUUAAAAUGUAAGAAAUAAGGAAAUUCAUAAGGAUCUGACGUGAUAGGAUCCUAGAGCUGGAAACUGAUAUGAUAGAGGAACCUAUGGAAGUAGAACCGGAAGAAGGAAUUGGGUCUAGUGAGACUGUCCAAAAUUAGAUUGAUGAAGUUUAAGUUGAAUCUAAACUAAGGGAUGAGCUAUUAGCUAUGUGGUUAUAAUAAUUUGUGUAUUAUUGAAUUAUUUUCUUUCAUGUUUAUAAAGAUUGAAGUUUGAGUCAUGUAUGAAAAAGUGGGACUACCCGUGAAUUGUUUGGCUUUUAAAGUUGUAUGAAGUUGGUGUGUAAUGUAAUUUAUAUUGUGUGUAUGUAAUUUGAUGAUCAUGUGUUCAUUUUGUUAUAAUGCUGUAAUAUUUAUUAGUCCUUGGGAUUAAAUAAUCACUAACUUGAGUGAAAUUUGAUAACCAAAGUGGUGUGUAGAAACUAUGAGAUUAAGGUUGGAGAAAAAAAGAGAGGAGAGAUUGAAAGUUGAGCUUAUAACGAUGUUAUAAUUGUUGCAAGGGCCAAUGGUGUUUUCUAAGAUAGAUUUUUGACAAGGAUACUAUCAAUGAAAAAUUUAGAAGGAAGAUCAUGAAGAAUCUAAGAAUGGUGUUAUCGACUUUAAGGAAGCGUCAAUUGUGAGUGUGAAUUUCGAAUGGAAAAAAUAUCGUUUUUGGGGCAUGAUAUUUCAAUGACAGGAAUUGAAGAAUAAAUAAAUUCCUUAGUCAUAGUCCUAUGAGAGCAUCAUGGAAUGGAAGAAAUGACAUAGGAACUGGAAGAUAAAAAUGCGGAAAGAAUACUCGGAAUUCUUACGAUUAAAAGUACGAAAUUUCAAGGACGAAAUUUUUUUAAAGGGGGAAGAAUGUGAGAACUUGAGAAAAAUUAUAUGUAUGCUAUGAAUUUCUUUUAUUUUAAUUACUUUGAUAUUAGAAAUAUUAUAUAUAACGAAUAAAUGGUUAAAUUAAAUGCCUAAUUGAAUUCAUAUAAAAAUUGAAAACUUAGAAAUAUCCUAGAAUGGUGUAAAACAAUAUUAGUUAUAUAAAUCAAAUAAACAUAUUAUAUGCAUAUUGUAAUGAUAUGGUGUUAAUUGUCAGUAAUUUUAUUGUUAAUUUUCCCUUUGUUUUUGCCAAAUAUUGUUUUAAUUGUUAAUAUCUACUUAUAUUUGGUAUUUGGUCUCAAUUUCAGGGAGUGGAACUACAAAGUGCUAAAAAUGAGAAACUAUCUUGAGAAAAUGGCUCCAUAAGUGGGAGACUUCAAAAUGCUCCAUCCACCUGGCCCACAAGGAGAGAAACAAACGGAUUUCCUUUUCCUUUUGGGCUAAUGAAGAGUUGCCUGGUACGGAGAAGUCCUACUAGCAACAGGAAACAAGAGUCAAUUCGGUAGGGCCCACCUUUCGUACUUCGUUUUCUCAAUUCGGUGGGGGACCACGGAAGCAUUAGUCAUUGCUUAGAAACAAACGUACAGAGGCUAGAGUUUUCGUUUUGUGAGCAAUAAUUUAGUUUUCUUUCUUUUUCCUUUCAUGCGUGCCUUGUGUUCGACAAUAGUCCCGAAUAGAAAAACGGCUUUGACUUCUUGAUUAUUAGCGAAGAAAUAUGAUGUUUUUGAACUCAAUUGAAUUGUGUGGCGAUUUUCUCAUGAGGCUUGGCUAAGCCUUUCAUCUACUCAAGGAUCAACUUGACGGCACAGUCCCGAAUAUCUGUGAGAUC